rnacentral:rRNA from 1 species
CGGCGCCACAAGUGGCGAUCAUGAUUAUUGGGCCUAAAGCGUCCGUAGCCGGUUUAGUAAGUCUUUUGUGAAAUCGUUGCGCUUAACGUAACGGCGUGCAGAAGAUACUGUUAAACUUGAGACCGGGAAGAGUUAGAGGUAUGCUUGGGGGAGCGGUAAAAUGCUAUAAUCCUUUGCAGACCACCAGUGGCGAAGGCGUCUAACUUGAACGGAUCUGACGGUGAGGGACGAAAGCCAGGGGAGCAAUCCGGAUUAGAUACCCGAGUAGUCC